GAUGAACGCUGGCGGCGUGCCUAAUACAUGCAAGUCGAGCGAACGGACGAGAAGCUUGCUCCUCUGAUGUUAGCGGCGGACGGGUGAGUAACACGUGGAUAACCUACCUAUAAGACUGGGAUAACUUCGGGAAACCGUAGCUAAUACCGGCUAAUAUUUUGAACCGCAUGGUUCAAAAGUGAAAGACGGUCUUGCUGUCACUUAUAGAUGGAUCCGCGCUGCAUUAGCUAGUUGGUAAGGUAACGGCUUACCAAGGCAACGAUGCAUAGCCGACCUGAGAGGAUGAUCGGCCACACUGGAACUGAGACACGGUCCAGACUCCUACGGGAGGCAGCAGUAGGGAAUAUUCGGCAAUGGGCGAAAGCCUGACGGAGCCACGCCGCGUGAGUGAUGAAGGUCUUCGGAUCGUAAAGCUCUGUUAUUAGGGAAGAACAGAUGUGUAAGUAACUGUGCACAUCUUGACGGUACCUAAUCAGAAAGCCACGGCUAACUACGUG
rnacentral:rRNA from 1 species